UAGAGGAAGAAGCCAGAACCCAAGAGAGGAAGGUGAUCUGCCCACGGUCACAAAGAUAAGGACUCUGUAGAGCAGAAAAGGUCACCAUUCUGCCAUAUUGAUUUCAUUGGAAGUAAAGAUUGACAAAAACACCUGCCAUGAAAACAGAACCACCAGGAUUCUAGCAAACUUCUGGACCCACAGAGCUACAGAAAUAGCCGCUGACCUGAGAGCUGGGAGUGGUUACCCCUCCUCCCCAUCCCCAAAGUCAGCUGUGUCUUUGCUCACUGCUCUGAGAAGGAACAGCUGUUAGGUCUCCCCCACGCCAUGGGCUUACUAUCGUGGUGACAGACUCAUUGUGGAUAACUGUUUGGCUUUAGCCUUACUACAGCUCAGAAUUCCCAAACUCGAGAGAUCCAGUAGCCUCAGUUUCCCAGAAGCAGGAAGAGAUUGGCUCUCCACUGCCCAGGAACCAAGUCCAUAAGUGGAAAGUCCAGCAUCAAAAUGGACUGACAUUGUGCCAGAUCCAAUCAUUGGAGCAGGAUUGCAGAUCUAAAAGCUAAAACAGACCUGUAGGUCAUCUGGUCCAGCCUCUUCAUUGGACACAUGAGGAAACCAAGACCUAGAGAGGAUGUGGAUUUGGAGUGAAGAGACAUGAGUUCAAAUUAUGAAUCUCCAUCAAUUACUGGAUGUUUGUCUGCAGCUUCUAAUAAGAUUGCCUCACAGUCUGGGCUGUGGAAGAAUCAAUGGAUCAAUAAUUACCUACUAUUAUGUGCCAGGAACUGUGUCUGGUGCUGAGGAUACAACUCCAAAAAUGAAAUAAUGCCCACUUCCGAGAAGCUUCCAUUGCCAUCCCUACCCUUUCUUUCUUUCUUUCUUUCUCCACACUUGAAUUUUUUUAUUUGAGGCUAUACCCCCCAAAAAUCAACAAAUAGCCAAAAGAAAUUGCUAUGGGAGCCGAACGUGAGUCCAUAAAGGGGAUUUUUGUUGCCACUUGGCCAACCAAAGAGCUUGGAUUGGCUCCUCCAUGGGAGAUUAUGUAAAACUAUUCAAAUCCUGACUGACAGUGUUUUCUAAACCAGCUGUUGGGCUUCAUGAACAUUUGGGAGGAGAGGAGACUGCAGGGUAAGGUCAUUAAAUCUUCCCACAUCUUUUACGGAAAGAAACAGCUGCGAUCUUCUUGCCCAGGAAGAAGUAAACAAAAAUUGGCAGCUCCUCAGCCCCAUCCAGCAGCAGGCUUUUAAGCUGUUUUUCCUCCCUGGUGUUGCAUCUGCUGCUGCCAGGUUCUGGUACCGGUAAUUCAGUUGCCCAGAUCACUGAGGGGGAGCAAGUUCUUGGAAGAGACCAUCAGCCAAUUCGGUUUGGCCAAAUCCCAUCCUGGAUGGGACUUAGAACCCAAAUGAAACAAUGAGUGGGAUCUCGGUCAACCAGUUAUUUCAAGAUGCCAUUAUCAUAGGGAAAUCAAAUUGUGUCUACUCCUUUUAGCAAGGAAAAUGUAAUGUUUCUCAAAAUCAUUCUUAGAUUUGAUAUCAAUCCAUAAAUUGAUCAACAAACAGUUAUUGAGAGUUUAUUAAAUUCCAAGC